ACUGUCAUCAACAUGGCACCGGAAACAAACACAAGCAGUAACAGUCAACCCACAAGCGUCCUCCGAAACACAGGAGCAUCUGCUCACCUCACAGAGGCACAGGCCACCCUGCUCAUAUUAACUUGUUCUUAAACACACACCCACGCUCUCUCCAGCUUCUGCUAUCCUUGUGCAAGCAUAUCACCCCGUUUUAGGGACAGAAUCCACAGAGACCUCCCCUGCCCUACCCCCUACCUUUCCUUUCUUUGCUUCUUCCUCCCCCCUCCCUCCCUCAUCCCUGGGUACCCGUUUGCCAGGGUUAUUUAUAGAAGCAAGCGAUAAAUUCAGUGUGUUUCUCGGCGUGCAAAGCUAUAAAUAAUGGCACAGAUCAUUAAACCCCGAGAGCAGGCCCAGCCGCCCCGCAAACAAGAUGAAGUGCAAACCACCACGUGAGAGGGAGAGAGGGAGGUGCAGGGGAGAGAAGCAGGCCCAGCCUGCACCCCUCAACCUAGGCCUAGGGAGCAUGGGCUUCCAAGGCUCCCGGAGAGACUCUGAUCCCACCAGGAGCCUUCAGAGGCAGAAAGUUCCCUGUCAGCAGAACACUGUAGGCCACGUCGCAAACCUCAAGCUGGCCUUCUGUUCGCGUCCCAGGCAUUUGCAGCAGAAUCUGGUGCGGCUGCGUAGAACCUGGAGCCCCUUCACUUGGGAAUGAGCUGGAAGGGCAACAACUCAACUGAAACCACAUCACACAGCCGCUGCGGCACAGUGGGACCGCUGUCACGUUGCACCUUCAGGACCUCAGUCUUCCCGGUUUCCACACCUAGAGGACCAGAGAUGGCCUGCCAUCUAAGACCCACCCACGAAAGAACCGGAACAGAUAAGGAAGCAGAAUGAGAAGUGUUCCUGGACAGAAAAGCCCAGAAUGUACAGCUACCGAAGAGGAACCUGAAACUUAAUCCACAGAUUCCUAACAUAAAAAUAAAGGGAAACAGAUAGCAGCUUUAAAAAUCUCACUAGCCACACCGGGUGGUGUUUGCCGGCAAUAUUAGCAUUCUGGAGAUGGAAUCUGGAUGAUCAGGAGUUAAAAGUCAUCCCCAGAUACAUAAUGAGUUCCGGGAUAGCCUAGGCUACACGAGACUGUUCCAAAUAAUAAACCAAUAUAGCCUAGGCUACAUGAGAGUCUGUUUCAAAUGAUAAACAAGUCUCCCCCCAUUCCAGAAGGCUUAUCAGUCCCGUUCCCAGCACCAAUUCCUUGCCCUCCAUCAAAGCAUGGUCAGGCAGGGCCAGCAAGAUGGCUCGAUGGGUAUAGGUACUUAGACCUAAGUUAGAUCCCCGAAUCCAGGUAAAGGUGGAAGGAGACAGUGGGUUCCAUAAAAUUGUCCUCUGACCUUCAAAUGAUCCUUCAAUGGCAUAUACACACAUGUGUAUGUCUAUAUAUAUAUACACAUAUAUAUACACACAAUGAUAAAUAAAUAAUUUUAAAGAUGUA